UUUAUGGUGGCUCAGUGGUAAAGAAUCUGCCUGUGAUGCAGGAGACACAGGUUUGAUCCUUGUUUGGGAAG
rnacentral:tRNA from 1 species